UCUCGUCUCUCUCUCACAACAGAAAUCCCCAUCUGUGGAACGAUGCCUCGUCUUCACCCAGCCACCGUCAUCCUCUCACGUUUUACAAAUUUACCCUCAAGAUGCAACAGGGAGGGGCUGCACUCUCAGAUCGGUCGAGGCGCUACACCACCGAGGCCAACCAGAUUUGUCUCUAUGUCAUGUAGGUGGCGCUGCCGCCGGAUCCAACCUCGCUCAAGCACCCGGGCGGAGGCGGUUUAGAGGGGCUGGCAUGGAGACGAGGGGAAGGGUGCGUUGUCAGGUGACCACGGCGUGGUUCCAGUGUGUCGAUGGUGACAUCACUGUAAUUAGUUAUGUAACAUGAAGCUUUCAUGGAUUUAUUUUUGAGGAAUAAAGUUUGACACAAAACAUCUUGUAUGAAGAAGAUUUCAUUGGUGUUCCAGGUACUGACGUGCAGCAAGAGGUAAGGGGAAGAGGAGGUUCGAUGAUGGUACGAAUGGCAAUGGCGGUAGCCUAUGUUCCUUGUUAAGUCUUCACAUCGCUUGUUUUCUUUGAACCAUUCGGGCUUUGAUUUAUUCAGCCAUGUGCAUGUCAUGUGUUUGAUGCAAUGCACAGGAAUAGCCAUGCACUCGGUGGACUUUUUGUGUGUGUGCGAGGAUUGUGUGAGGAGUAGAAAGUGGAAUCACUAUAUAGAUAACAUCAAUCUUCAUAACCGAGUGUCGCAACUAAGCCGCAUGUGAAGCUAUCAUAAAUUUAUGUUCUAUAGGUACAAACGUGUCAGCACAAAACUUAUCAGAACUGAUCAAUUCCUUCCCAAAGUGCAGACGGAUAAACCUGCCAAUCAACGCCUCCCAGGGACUGUUGAACAUUUUGCUUCUGUAUCCGGUGACGAACUGAACCAUGGUGCUCACAUACGAAUCCACACUGGGGCACUUACCACUACAUACAAUCAGAUAGGUCAAUCUCACAAUGAAAAACAUACAAGGACUCUUUGAACCACAGAUCCUGAAGCUUAUACAGAACUAACUACAAAAGGUAGAAGGGUACGUCCUACAUCCAAUUUCCUUGAGAAUGAUCGCAAAAUCUUCACUCAAAAAAAGAAAAGAAGCCACUCUCGGUGAAUCAGAUGCAGAUCCUACAACCAAAUUACAACUGGUGUGGCAGCAAAAGGAUAUGUAUUGAGGCGUGUACUGUUAAUAGAGAUCACAAGUGCACUUUGAGUGUCUACUGGAACUCUUCAUGAAUCCACCAUCGAUAUAAGAGCUUGGACUGAGAGAGAAGUACGCCCAAGUGAGGGCAAUGCUUUUACAAAUAAGUAGAGAUUCUAUGGGGACACUGCACCCACCACAUAUUACUUUUAAGUAUCUUGACCUUUUGUUGAUUUGUGGCUGCUAUUAUAUGAGCAGGCCAAAGUUGUUGAUUUUAGUAGGUAAGGCCAAAGCCAAAGCUGUUCCUGAAACUUACGUCGGAGGGCUUCCUCUUUCUAGAGGAGAAAAAAUGGCAGAGUUAUUAUUUUUCAUAAUGUGCAUGUUCCGAAA